rnacentral:rRNA from 1 species
GAUGAACGCUGGCGGCGCGCCUAACACAUGCAAGUCGAACGAUUAAAGCACCUUCGGGUGUGUAUAAAGUGACGAACGGCUGAGUAACACGUGGGCAACCUGCCCCUUUCAUUGGGAUAGCCACGGGAAACCGUGGAUAAUACCGAAUACUUCGAGACUUCCGCAUGGAAGACUCGAGAAAGCUCCGGCGGAGAGGGAUGGGCCCGCGGCCUGUUAGCUUGUUGGUGGGGUAACGGCCUACCAAGGCAAUGAUGGGUAGCUGGGUUGAGAGACCGACCAGCCAGAUUGGGACUGAGACACGGCCCAGACUCCUACGGGAGGCAGCAGUGGGGAAUCUUGCACAAUGGGCGAAAGCCUGAUGCAGCGACGCCGCGUGCGGGAUGAAGGCCUUCGGGUUGUAAACCGCUUUCAGCAGGGACGAGGCGAAAGUGACGGUACCUGCAGAAGAAGCCCCGGCUAACUACGUG